rnacentral:rRNA from 1 species
AACGAACGCUGGCGGCAUGCCUAACACAUGCAAGUCGAACGAUGCCUUCGGGCAUAGUGGCGCACGGGUGCGUAACGCGUGGGAAUCUGCCCUUGGCUUCGGAAUAACAGUUAGAAAUGACUGCUAAUACCGGAUGAUGUCCCCCUGAGAGAUCUUUGGGACCAAAGAUUUAUCGGCCAGGGAUGAGCCCGCGUAGGAUUAGGUAGUUGGUGGGGUAAAGGCCUACCAAGCCGACGAUCCUUAGCUGGUCUGAGAGGAUGAUCAGCCACACUGGGACUGAGACACGGCCCAGACUCCUACGGGAAGCAGCAGUGGGGAAUAUUGGACAAUGGGGGGAACCCUGAUCCAGCAAUGCCGCGUGAGUGAUGAAGGCCUUAGGGUUGUAAAGCUCUUUUAACAGGGAUGAUAAUGACAGUACCUGGAGAAUAAGCUCCGGCUAACUCCGUG